UCUCUUCUCCCUGGACCUCUGUGUUGAAUCACUAAGGCCUCUCUUCUCCCUGGUCCAGACCUGUCUCUGUGUUGAAUCACUAAGGUCUCUCUUCUCCCUGGACCUCUGUGUUGAAUCACUAAGGUCUCUCUUCUCCCUGGUCCAGACCUGUCUCUGUGUUGAAUCACUAAGGUCUCUCUUCUCCCUGGUCCAGACCUGUCUCUGUGUUGAAUCACUAAGGUCUCUCUUCUCCCUGGACCUCUGUGUUGAAUCACUAAGGUCUCUCUUCUCCCUGGUCCUCUGUGUUGAAUCACUAAGGUCUCUCUUCUCCCUGGACCUCUGUGUUGAAUCACUAAGGUCUCUCUUCUCCCUGGUCCAGACCUGUCUCUGUGUUGAAUCACUAAGGUCUCUCUUCUCCCUGGUCCUCUGUGUUGAAUCACUAAGGUCUCUCUUCUCCCUGGUCCUCUGUGUUGAAUCACUAAGGUCUCUCUUCUCCCUGGUCCAGACCUGUCUCUGUGUUGAAUCACUAAGGUCUCUCUUCUCCCUGGUCCUCUGUGUUGAAUCACUAAGGUCUCUCUUCUCCCUGGUCCAGACCUGUCUCUGUGUUGAAUCACUAAGGUCUCUCUUCUCCCUGGUCCAGACCUGUCUCUGUGUUGAAUCACUAAGGUCUCUCUUCUCCCUGGACCUCUGUGUUGAAUCACUAAGGUCUCUCUUCUCCCUGGACCUCUGUGUUGAAUCACUAAGGUCUCUCUUCUCC